ensembl:snRNA U1 U1 spliceosomal RNA
CUACUUACCUGGCAGUGUAGAGGCCAUGAUCAUGAAGGCGGUUCAUCCAGGGUGAGGCUCUGCUAUUGCACUUCGGUGCUGCUGACCCUUGAAACUCAACUGCAUAAUUUCUGGUAGUGGGGGACUGCAUUCAUGCUCUCCCCUG